CAGUAGCCGCGGUAAUACGUAGGGUGCGAGCGUUAAUCGGAAUUACUGGGCGUAAAGGGCUCGUAGGUGGUUUGUCGCGUCGUCUGUGAAAUUCUGGGGCUUAACUCCGGGCGUGCAGGCGAUACGGGCAUAACUUGAGUGCUGUAGGGGUAACUGGAAUUCCUGGUGUAGCGGUGAAAUGCGCAGAUAUCAGGAGGAACACCGAUGGCGAAGGCAGGUUACUGGGCAGUUACUGACGCUGAGGAGCGAAAGCAUGGGUAGCGAACAGGAUUAGAUACCCCUGUAGUCCCUGUCUCUUAUA
rnacentral:rRNA from 1 species